rnacentral:lncRNA from 1 species
AAGCUAGUCAAUAUAGGAUAUUUUUAUCUACCAUUGCAGUCUACAUCACUUCUGUAUUAACCAUCUCAAGCUAAAAUAUGCCAGACCAUUUGGGCCUUUGUAUAAUGAUGUUGUGAUUUAUUGCACUCUCAGUUUCCAUCCUGCAGCAAUUACCAGAAGAGCUGAUAAUGGUCUGCAAUUUGUUUUCCAGAACUGGGAGUAGCUGCCAGCAAGAGCCGCUCGUAGGGAAAGGUAGUGGCUGUUUACCUGGAUGGCUCAGCCAGACCAGGGAGGACAGACCCGCUUGAGUUCUCCAACAGAAGACAGUGACAUGACACAAAUGGUAGCACAAGGCUCUUACUGUUCCAUUCAAUAAGUGAGUCUCUGUGGAUGGAUUAUAACUCCCAAAAGGUUGCAAAGAGAGGCUAGAAAGAGUGGAAUUAUGCUCCCAAGAAGAAAAAUCCAGAGUAAGAGCACGGGUUUAAUGGACAUACUUUGGAUUUACACCAGCAUCCUGAAAGCAGAAUCGUCCCCUGUAGAUGUGGCAGUAUCACUGUAGCUCUCUCCAGAAAAUCUACAGCAGGCUUUCUGAAGGCUCCCACUCCUCCAGCCUGUCACAGCCUGUGUGCUGCUAACCGGAGCCCUCCAGACUCAAGCUGGCAGGAUGCCUGCCCUUGUCACCAGUCUACGAGAAGUGGGUUUCAACUGAAAAGCCAACCAUUUAGAAAGAGGCAUUGUUUCACCCACCCUCGGAUCAGGAUCUUUCAAAGCAAUUAAAACUUAAUUCUG